UACGGAGGGUGCGAGCGUUGUCCGGAAUCACUGGGCGUAAAGGGCGCGUAGGUGGCGUCACAAGUCAACGGUGAAAGCUCGACGCUCAACGUCGAGUCGGCCGUCGAGACUGCGAGGCUUGAGCACUGUAGAGGCAGAUGGAAUUCCGGGUGUAGCGGUGGAAUGCGUAGAGAUCCGGAAGAACACCGGUGGCGAAGGCGGUCUGCUGGGCAGUUGCUGACACUGAGGCGCGACAGCGUGGGGAGCAAACAGGG
rnacentral:rRNA from 1 species